ensembl:lncRNA
GGAGAAAAUAAGGGUACAUAACAUGGGUAUUGGAGUCAUUAAGGGUACGUAAAUAGGGUAUUGGGAGUCAUUAAGGGUACAUAGCUAGGGUAUUGGGGUCAUUAAGGGCACAUAACUAGGGUACGUAACUAGGGUAUUGGAGUCAUUAAGGGUACGGAACUAGGGUAUUGGAGUCAUUAAGGGUACAUAACUAGGGUAUUGGAGUCAUCAAGGGUACAUAACUAGGGUAUUGGAGUCAUUGGAGUCAUUAAGGGUAUGUAACUAGGGUAUUGGAGUCAUUGGAGUCAUUAAGGGUGCGUAACUAGGGUACAUAACUACGGUAUUGGAGUCAUUAAGGGUACGUAACUAGGGUAUUGGAGUCAUUAGGGGUACGUAACUAGGGUACAUAACUAGGGUAUAGGCUGUCAUUACGAGUACAUAACUAGGGUACGUAACUAGGGUAUUGGAGUCAUUAAGGGUACAUAACUAGGGUAUUGGAGUAAUUAAGGGUACAUAACUAGGGUAUUGGAGUCAUUAAGGGUACGUAACUAGGGUACGUAACUAGAGUAUUGGAGUCAUUAAGGGUACGUAACUAGGGUAUUGGAGUCAUUAAGAGUACGUAACUAGGGUAUUGGAGUCAUUAAGGGUACGUAACUAGGGUAUUGGAGUCAUUAAGGGUACAUAACUAGGGUAUUGGAGUCAUUAAGGGUACGUAACUAGGGUAUUGGAGUCAUUAAGGGUACGUAACCAGGGUAUUGGAGUCAUUAAGGGUACGUAACUAGGGUAUUGGAGUCA